GCCAAUGGCCGCGCCCGCUACUGUGUCAUCAUUAUCCUCACACUCGUCCUUAUCGUCUCGCCAUCCCCCUCCUUUUUUAGUGCUGCUAGGCUUCCCCAAACCAGACCAAAACUCUCCUCCACCAUUGCCAGUGCCUUCCCGAGCACCUUUGCCGGCCGAUUCUGCCGCACUCCAGCAUCCUCCACUCAAUCCACCGCACCACCACCUCCCCCACUUGUCCAGCAAGCCCUCCGUCCUGUCCACGCCGCUCGCCAUGCCUCCACCGCCGGGAAUCCGAUGUUUUUCCAUCUGCCUCCGCUAGAACACCAAGGAGCCCUCUGCGGCCAAAUACUCUGGCCGUGAGCUGUUCCCUUCCAAUCUCUUGCACCCAUGGCCCCCUGAGCCAUCCCGCAUCCAUUUUGCCACUUCCGGGCCGCUCUCCUACGCCGCAAAGGCACCCCACCGGCGAGUAUCCAACCGCCCCCAAUUGUUGCCAUGAAACCUCCUGGAAGACCUUGCUGCACCCCCUCCUCACCACCUAUAUUGAUGGUAAGCCUCCCAACCUUGCUACGCCGCCCCUCUCCUCUCUCCCAAGCCGUGCCUUGCCUUUCCCUCGCCGGCCCCUAGGGCCAUGGACGGCAAGUUUGAACCGUGUGCCUGUUUCUGUGCUUUUGUGCAUGGGAGAUCUGUGUGGGGAAGAAGAAGGAAGUGUAGGGGGCUAGGUGAAAUCCAGGGACUUUUACGCAAUUAACUCGUAGAUCCAGGGGUUAGAUUGCAACUUUACCUCGGUUUUCUUUAUUUCCUAGAUCUAAAAAGGCUGAAAAUUUGGAAAUUCGUAAUAAAUUGUAGAAAAAUCAUAAAAUAGAAAAUGAAGAUGUUUUGGAAUACUUGUGAGUAGAACUAUGCAGUAGAGUCAUAAUAUGAUAUAUGUUAGUAGAAAGUUUCUAAUGUUUUUUAUUUAUUCUUGCAAAGUGCUUUUAGAAAUCCUUUUAAGUUGGUUAGAUGCGUGUCUUGAGUUCUAGAAGUCCAAAAAUUAUGAUUCCAGUUGUGUUAGUCUUGUGAUGACAUCCUCUAGCUAAGAAAAAUAUUAAACAUGUUAGUUGUGCACUAUUUUUUAUCAUGUUUUGAUUUAAUCUUGAUAAAUAUGCAAAUUUUAGCUUGUUUUGCUUGUCAUUUUCAUAUCUAAAGUCGUGGUGCUCCAAUUUAUGUGAACUUUUUAUGGUAGUCUAUAAAUGAUGCUCUUGUGCUGUGGUAAAACUUUGAUAUUUAUUGGUGCAUGUAUGACUUAGUUAUUAAUUUAACUUGUUUAAUACUUGUUAUAUGAUUUAUGAAUAUUAGAAGUGUUUAAAAAUAGAAAAUAUUGUUCCACUACCUUUGUAUAUGAUGUUGUUAUACUAUAAUAACAUAUUAUAUGGCUAUGUGUUUUUUGGAAAUAAUGAUCUUUAGAAUUAUCUUGCUUUUACAUGCUUUCUUGCAAGAGCAAUUUAUCUUUUUCGUAGCAAUCAUAUUAUAAAACCUGAGCAUGUGAAAUUUGUACAGUAGUCAUGUUUUGAUAGCAUCUACCACUCAUAAAAAUCUCAGCCCCAAACUAGUUGCUCUCAUAUAGCACUAAAAAUAAUAUAUAUACAUGUCAUUCUAUGGAAGUUAAUGAAAGUUAAUAACAAAUAGGCAUAUUCCUAACCAUGAGAUGCUACUUAAUUUACACCAAUCUUGUAAAAUAUAGUGUAUCUAUAUGGAUGUUGUUUGAGUCCUUGAAUGAUAUGUAUGAACUCUCUGUUGGGAGAAACACGUGAAAACCAACAAUAUGCUACCUUCUGAAAUUUGGCUGCAUGUGUACUUUUGUGGUGCAAAUGUUUUCGUGAUGCAAAUGAGGUUUUAUGUAAAUGUGGUAAAUACAAAAGUUGUAGGUAACUUCAUAAUAUAGAUUGUGUUAAAUUUUUAUGACCAUAAGCCUGAUGGUUUAGGAGCUAUAAAUUUUACAAGUUCAUUAUCAGGUUUUGCGUGCUCUCUGUACAGGUCUGAAUGAUUGUGUUGUUUGACUUAGUUAAGCUUUGAAUCAUAUCUUGGAGAUCAUAGAAGAAGUGUAGGGAUUUUCAUGAACCUUCCAAAUUGUUAAAGAUCAUCCCUUUUGGUAUUCUAAAUCUCCAGUUAUGAGCUUGUGAAGUGGAAUGACAGAAUCUGUCCUAAUCUGGACAUAGAUGUUUUCCUUGUGAUGUUUGACCUGGUUAACUUUGAAAUUAGCUUGUGGUGUUUAUAACAAAUUUGUGCAAGGUUUUAUAAUAUUUCUAAAAAGUAUAGAACCAUCUUGUUGUGAAAGCAAUAACUCAACUUAUGGCUGUCUAAAUUUUAAUAUCAGAAUCUGUCCAAGUUUGGACAGAUUUGCUUCUUUGUAUUGUAUAGCCUUGUUAACUAUUCAAUCAUCUUGAGAUGACAAUAAUAAAGUUAUAUAUAACUUAAUAAGGUUUAUACCAAGUUAAUAAUCAUGUUUGGUGGAUGUCUAGAACUCAUUUUAUUGCUCUCUGAAGUUCAUGUCAGUUUUCUAUCCUUGUUUAUACCGAUCUGGUUAUUGGUGUGCUUCACCUUGUUAUUUGUUGAAUCAGCUUUUGGUGUGACUAACAAAGUUUUAGAUAAUUUUCUUAAACUUACAUAAAGUCUAGGUUCACCCUUGUUGUAUGCUUAUAUCUCUAGUUAUGGUUACAACAAGUGACUACUGUGCUGCUGUAUAGAUUCGAUGUAUGUGCUUAAGUUAUUAGCUUUAACUUGACGUUGCCUUGUGUGUUUGUUAGUUAGUUCAUAACACUAUUAGAGUUAAAUUGAUCUAUUUGAGAAUCUUAUAAAUGUGUUAUAUAAUGUUGGUCAAGCACUUAACUAAUAAAGGGUCAUGUAUGCAUGUUGCUACAAAAUAACCUUGUUGCAUAGCUUGCUAGAACCUCAGUGAUGUCGGUGUGUGACUUGCUUGUGUAUGAGUGGUUUAAAAAUAAAUGUAAUAUACUUUGAUCACCUUCAACUUGCUAGUUAUGUGAUGCACUUAUGUAUGCCAUGUUGAUAAGCACCAUCACCCUAGUUCUUGUAUGAUGCUAUGCUUUAUUAGCUCUUGACUGUUAAAUGCUUGCAAUAGCUUGACUUUAGUUAACUAGUGUGCCAUGCUUGUUAUGAGUGAUAGUUAGUUAACUAACUUGCUCUCUAAGUACUUAUGUCUUGUGGUGUAACCUUGUGCUUGUCCUGAAUGCUUUUAUGUAAUGCAUCUCAUGUUACCAUUCUUCGUAUUCAUGCACUUGCAUCUCAUCUAGAUACGCUAGAUAAACCACAUGAAAGACGUGAUGAUGGAACCGAACUCGAAGACGGUGUAUGGUGGACCUAUCCUGAAGAUGGAAGGACUAAGCAAGUGCCGAGAUGAGAGAUGCUCGCCAAGCGAGUGUCGUCUAACAAACACUAACCUAGUGUUGGAUUCCAGGCAAGCCCCGGAGCAUGAUUCCUAUCUUUAAAUACUUGCAAUACAAUUGAUUUAUUUGAUUGCGCAUUUACGUUCUAGGAGUUGAUUGAAACCAUAGAUGCACGAAUAUAGUACCCCUGAUCUGAACACUAGUAUGUUAAGUCGAGUAGUUGCAAUUCUUAAUAGGACUCAGUAAAAGUCAAGUGAUUUCCUGUCACUCGCGAGUUAUACGAGUUGAUUGCUUUACUUAUGUUGCAACUAUAAGGACGAUGGACGGGGCCGGGCUUAUGUUCGGUACUCAAUGGUUUGCCCCGUCUGUCUACAUGAAACUGGAGUAAGAUCGAGAUGUGAUAGUGUUCGUGAUAAAGUGUUUGAAAGUACUAAUCUCAUACCUAGUAUUGGAUGGGGAAGCCUAGUACCUGAUUGAACCGGAACGUGAGCGGAUUGUUCCACUGUCUCUAGAACGGAGUUCCCUUGCGGCUGCAUGUGGUGACAAGUACGGUCAUAGAACAGCAAAUGUCGGGUCUAUGGAGCCUUGUACCAAGGAAAGUGGGCCUGACACGAGUCUGGGGAUUUGAUGGGGAUGGCUGGCAAAUGAAGCGACCCUUCGCGGUGCACGGAUGUCGUGGGAUUAGGUUCGCCAUGCAUGGUUAAGAAAUUUGAAUCGAUUCGUCUGCCUCUCACAGUUUGGGACUACUUGAUCGCUAUGCUAUAAUAAGUAAGAAUGGAAUUUGAUGAUGAUCUUAAUUGAUGCUUGUCAUAAAUUGCUUGAAAACUAUGCUUGUUUAGUAUAGUUGCUAACUUAGACGGGUAAAUGAACUUAUAACUGGUGGUUAAAAUAUUGAAAGUACGGACCUACACUAGUUUGUUUUGGCAAAAACAAACCCCUCAGCCAAAAAGCCUUGCAUGUCUAGAAGUUGGUGGAGUAGUUACCACCUGUCGGUUAAGUCUUGUUGAGCAUAGUUUCUUAGCCUUGUUUGUGGCACAUCUUUUUAGGUGAUGUUGAUACCCCUGAGUUUGCUGGAAGUGGCACUUGGCCUACCCAACUUCCUCUUGGUUGGACGGUUGAGUGGGAUCCCUCCUCGGACGGUGAGGACAGGGAUUAUUGAUGUCAUAAUCGGCUUCUUCAUGAUAUCAUGCAAUGACGUUUAGUUUCCGCUUAUUUAUUUCUGUCGCUUGAAAACUCUACAAACUUUGUUGAAUUUCGAACUUGAUGUUGUAAUAAAUUGCUGCACUUGUUUAAUCUGGAUGGACUGUUGUAAUCUUUGUAACCACUCGCCUUCGAGCGAGUCUUGCUUUCUCGAUCCUGAGUUAAGUGGUGUAUCGGAUGAAAUCCGACGGACGACCAAGUUGACUUGUUUAAAGUACAUGAUCGCGUGUUAAGCGACUUAAGUGUGCUUUAGCCAUGUUAAUUUGGGUGGUUCCGCCAUACAUGUACCCCCUCGGUAGGUUGCCGGGUCUAAACACUGACAGUGGGACCUUGGUUGGUUUAUGAUGUUUUCACAUACCUUAUAUCGUCUUAAAACCACCAUUUUACAGCGAGUGAUGAUUUCUUUUUGGCUACAGUGGCA
rnacentral:lncRNA from 1 species